rnacentral:rRNA from 1 species
AUUGAACGCUGGCGGCAUGCCUUACACAUGCAAGUCGAACGCGAAAGGGGGGCAACUCCUGAGUAGAGUGGCGCACGGGUGAGUAAUGCAUCGGAACGUGUCCUGUAGCGGGGGAUAACCUAGCGAAAGCUAGGCUAAUACCGCAUACGUCCUACGGGAGAAAGUGGGGGAUCGUAAGACCUCACACUAUAGGAGCGGCCGAUGCCGGAUUAGCUAGUUGGUGGGGUAAACGCCUACCAAGGCGACGAUCCGUAGCUGGUCUGAGAGGAUGAUCAGCCACACUGGGACUGAGACGCGGCCCAGACUCCUACGGGAGUCAGCAGUGGGGAAUUUUGGACAAUGGGGGAAACCCUGAGCCAGCCAUGCCGCGUGAGUGAAGAAGGCCUUCGGGUUGUAAAGCUCUUUCGGCCGGGACGAAAUCGCACGCGUGAAUAUCGCGUGUGGAUGACGGUACCGGAAGAAGAAGGACCGGCUAACUACGUGCCAGCAGCCGCGGUAA